rnacentral:rRNA from 1 species
CCGCGGUAAUUCCAGCUCCAAUAGCGUAUACUAAAGUUGUUGCGGUUAAAAAGCUCGUAGUUGGAUCUUGGAAUGUGUUCAAGCGGGUCAGCUUCUGGCUGUGCGCUGCUUGACGUGUUCUUCUAUUUGGUUUUGGUGUGGUGCGCUUAACUGCGUGUCGCUCCCGGCCGAAACGUUUACCUUGAAAAAAUUAGAGUGUUCAAAGCAGACCUGUUUGAGUCUGAAUAUUCGUGCAUGGAAUAAUGAAAUAUGAAUUCGGUUCUAUUUUGUUGGUUUUCGGAACUCGAGUUAAUGAUCAAGAGGGACAGACGGGGGCAUUCGUACUCUGCCGUUAGAGGUGAAAUUCUUGGAUCGGCGGAAGACGCGCAACUGCGAAAGCAUUUGCCAAGAAUGUUUUCUUUAAUCAAGAACGAUAGUCGGAGGUUCGAAGACGAUCAGAUACCGUCCUAGUUUCGACUGUAAACUAUGCCAGCUAACGAUCAGACAGAGUUCUCUACGACUUGUCUGGCAGUUUCCGGGAAACCAAAGCGUUUGGGUUCCGGGGGAAGUAUGGUUGCAAAGCUGAAACUUAAAGGAAUUGACGGAAGGGCACCACCAGGAGUGGAGCCUGCGGCUUAAUUUGACUCAACACGGGGAAACUCACCCGGCCCGGACACAGUGAGGAUUGACAGAUUGAGAGUUCUUUCUUGAUUCUGUGGGUGGUGGUGCAUGGCCGUUCUUAGUUGGUGGAGCGAUUUGUCUGGUUAAUUCCGAUAACGAACGAGACUCUGGCAUGUUAAAUAGUCGCGGAAGUGCGUAUGCACUUGCCGAAUUGACUUCUUAGAGGGACUAGUGAUUUUAAUUCACACGAGAUUGAGCAAUAACAGGUCUGUGAUGCCCA